AUUUUAAUAGCUUAAUUAGAGCAUAAUAUUGAAGAUAUUAAGGUAAAGUUUUUUUUUAAAAUA
rnacentral:tRNA from 1 species